rnacentral:rRNA from 1 species
GACGAACGCUGGCGGCGUGCCUAAUACAUGCAAGUAGAACGAGUUGCGAACGGGUGAGUAACGCGUGGUAACCUGCCUCAUAGCGGGGGAUAACUCUUGGAAACGAAAGCUAAUACCCAAUAUUUUGAGAUGGACCUGCGUUGUAUUGGGUAGUUGGUGAGGUAACGGCUCACCAAGGCGACGAUACAUAGCCGACCUGAGAGGAUGACCAGCCACACUGGAACUGAGACACGGUCCAGACUCCUACGGGAGGCAGCAGUGGGGAAUAUUGCACAAUGGGCGCAAGCCUGAUGCAGCCAUGCCGCGUGUAUGAAGAAGGCCUUCGGGUUGUAAAGUACUUUCAGCGAGGAGGCGUUACUCGCAGAAGAAGCACCGGCUAACUCCGUGCCAGCAGCCGCGGUAAUUC